GAUGAACGCUGGCGGCGUGCCUAAUACAUGCAAGUCGAGCGAACGGACGAGAAGCUUGCUUCUCUGAUGUUAGCGGCGGACGGGUGAGUAACACGUGGAUAACCUACCUAUAAGACUGGGAUAACUUCGGGAAACCGUAGCUAAUACCGGAUAAUAUUUUGAACCGCAUGGUUCAAAAGUGAAAGACGGUCUUGCUGUUACUUAUAGAUGGAUCCGCGCUGCAUUAGCUAGUUGGUAAGGUAACGGCUUACCAAGGCAACGAUGCAUAGCCGACCUGAGAGGGGGAUCGGCCACACUGGAACUGAAACACGGUCCAGACUCCUACGGGAGGCAGCAGUAGGGAAUCUUCCGCAAUGGUCGAAAGCCUGACGGAGCAACGCCGCGUGAGUGAUGAAGGUCUUCGGAUCGUAAAACUCUGUUAUUAGGGAAGAACAUCUGUGUAAGGAACUGUGCACAUCUUGACGGUACCUAAUCAGAAAGCCACGGCUAACUACGUG
rnacentral:rRNA from 1 species